UACAGAGGUCCCGAGCGUUGUUCGGAUUCAUUGGGCGUAAAGGGUGCGUAGGCGGCGUGGCCAGUCUGAUGUGAAAUCCCGGGGCUCAACCCCGGAACUGCAUUGGAUACUGCCUUGCUAGAGUACUGGAGAGGGGACUGGAAUUUACGGUGUAGCAGUGAAAUGCGUAGAGAUCGUGAGGAAGGCCGGUGGCGAAGGCGAGUUCCUGGACAGUUACUGACGCUGAGGCACGAAGGCCAGGGGAGCGAACGGG
rnacentral:rRNA from 1 species